UACGUAGGAUGCAAGCGUUGUCCGGAAUUAUUGGGCGUAAAGAGCGCGCAGGCGGUUUUACAAGUCAGAUGUGAAAGAGGCCGGCUUAACCGGCAAGGGUCAUUUGAAACUGUGAGACUAGAGUACAGCAGAGGAUAGCGGAAUUCCCGGUGUAGUGGUGAAAUGCGUAGAUAUCGGGAGGAACACCAGUGGCGAAGGCGGCUAUCUGGGCUGAAACUGACGCUGAGGUGCGAAGGCUAGGGUAGCAAACAGG
rnacentral:rRNA from 1 species